CUAAUAGCACAACUAGGCAGAUAACAGUCACCAUGGAUGGGCUCAGCAUCUGAGCCUCCUGGGCUGAGUUUGUCAGCUGGUCAAGAUGAUUUCUGAAACUUAACUGCACAAUGGCUUUAGCCUGCAGAGAAUCAGGAUCGCUUACUGUCACCAGAGCAACAAAACUGUCCUUAGGAAGAGCUUCAGAUAGCACUGGCACCUGGGCAGCCCAAGUGAUGUGCACAUCUGGGGCAUUGUCGUUGACAUCCAGGACCUUGAUGAGGAUCUUGCAGUGUGCUGGGAUAGGGUUGGCUCCAAGAUCCCUGGCUUGUACAUCUACUUCAUAGGUAUGGUUUUCUUCAUAGUCCAGUGGGCGUCUCAGAACUACACUGCCUGUCUUGGCUUCAAUGAUGAACAUGUUCAACACCUCCAGUGAAGCAUGUUUACUGAGUGAGUAUUCUACCUCCCCAUUGGGACCCUGAUCAGGGUCAGUGGCUGUAAGGUUUAUAAGAAUUGUCCCAGGCAAAGCAUCUUCCCAGAUUUCCACUGUCAAAGAACUCUCUGCAAACAUGGGGCUGUUAUCAUUGGAGUCUAAAACAAUUACCCUAAGUAAGGUUGUGCCUGAUUUUGGUGGUUCUCCAUGAUCAAAGGCAGUCAAUACUAGAUCAAAACAAGAGUGGAGCUCUCUGUCCACUUCUUUAACAACUACAAGUUCUGCAUGUUUAGUUCCAUCAGAUCCAGAAAUUACAUCCAAAGCAAAGUGGUCACUGGGUGAUAAUGAGUAAGAGCAGAGGGCAUUGGAGCCAGUGUCUGGAUCGAGGGCUCGGUCCAGUGGUAUCCGUGUUCGUAAAGAUGCACUCUCUGAUAUUUCUAGUUCCAGCUCAGGUUUUGGAAAUCGGGGUGCAUGAUCAUUGAUGUCCAAGACCUGAAUCUCCACGUGGAUUAAAGCCAAGUGUGUGGCAGCCAGCACAUCAAAAGAGAACAAGCAUGGAUCGUUGUGCCUGCAUAACUGCUCUCUGUCCAAUCGCCCUGCUGUGCUAAGCAAACCAUCUCCAGACCCAACACAGACAGGGAGCUCCUUGGGGAAAUGCAACUGCUGGAAGGUCUCUACUGGUUCACUUCUCUCUUUCCAGCCAAAAUCCUCAGAUAAUUUCCCUAUCACAGUUCCACUUGGCACUUCUUCUAACACUUUGUAUUGCAUAGCAAAGGGGGCCACCUCCUGGCAAUCCACAAAAAGGAAAAAGUGCCAGCACAACACCAAGAAUUGAAGCAGAAAGUGUGACAGCAAAAGCAUGCUUCUGAGAAAGCCAACCACACUGUUGCUCAGCCCCAAGACAGAUGGCUUUGUCCUCAAAACUUUGCACACCCAGACCAAGCUUAAAGAACCUGACAAUCAUUUCUGUUUUCACCCAAGGACAGUCCCAUUUCCAGAUACCAUAAGAGUAUGUUACCAGCUGAAGGAGGAACAGAAAUCCCAGGCAGAUCCAGCUACAUUGAGAGAAAAUCCCCACCUUCUCCACCAGUGCCUAGAAGAACAGCCCAAGGUCCAGUGUGCUUCAACAGCAGCCCUGGGAACUACAAGUUGUGGACUACAAACUGUGGUAUGUUGGAAGAACUUCCUUGUUCCUGCCAGGAUGUACCCCUUAGAAUCAACAGGAAGGAAGUGUUACAAUUUCUUGGAUUCACUGGCUAUUACAAGAGAUACAUCAAAGGCUACUCCAAACUGGCAGCCCCAAUAUUCAGAUUAACUGCAGGUGAAGCCCAGACCAGAAUGAGAAAUCAGAGGGGUCCCACUAAGAUACUCAGUACUGUUUGGACAGGUGAAUGUGACCAGGCUUUCACAGAGCUGAAGACAAAGCUGACUACUGCACUAAUACUGGGAUAUGCCGAUUACAGCUUACCAUUCAUACUCCAGACAGACUCAUCCACAGAGGGGCUAGGAGCUGUACUGGCUCAGAUUCAGUCAGGGAAGGAGAGGGUCAUAGUUUAUGCCAGCAGGGGCUUAACUCCUUCUGAAAAAAAAAAUUCCGCCCAUAAACUGGAGUUCUUGGCAUUAAAAUGGGCAGCUGCAGAUAAAUUUAGAGACUAUCAGCUAGGACACUAAUUUACAGUACUGACUGACAACAAUCCACUGAACUAUGUUACUACUACUGCUAAAUUGAACGCAACCAGUCAAAGGUGGAUGGCAAAGCUGGCAGAGUUCAACUUUGACAUAAAGUACCAGCCUGGGAGAAGUAAUGCCAAUGCUGAUAGCCUGUCUUUGUUACCCCGAGAGGAGGUGGCAACAGUUUUGAAUGCUGGAUGCAAUGUGUCCUCCAGAGCAACCCAGGGUGAAUGCCAAAGGAAUGCAAUGCAGAGAGCUGAGUCACUCCACAAGCCAGGCAUAGAAUUAAUUCCAGGCCUGCCUAAGAAAGAAUUGAGAAGGCUACAGGAAAAGGAUGCAGUAAUCUCCCACGUAAGGUCCUACCUGCCCAGGCAACGGGCACCCAGUGCCCAGGAGAGGCAGAAGGAAGAAACACCAGUGCUGACAUUACUGAAUCAAUGGAAGCAAUUGCAGCUGGUAGAGGGGAUCCUUUACAGGAGGACAACAAUCCUGGGAGAGGGACAGAUCCAACAGGUGGUGCUGCUAGAGAAACUCCAGAGAGAAGUGUUUGAAGCUCUGCACAUGGACACGGGAUACAUGGGCAUUGACCAUAUGGUGGAUAUCAUCCACAGUCGCUGUUAUUGGCCAGGCCACCAUGCCGGGGUGAUGUCUCUCUUGCAAAAGGUGCUGCCUAAGAAAGAGAGGCAUCUCUUGUUGGGCCAAGAAUUCCAAAAGCUCAAUUGGGUUCAUGAUAUGUGUUAAUGUUUAUAUUGGAUAUAUUGGUUAUAUUGGUCAUCAUCUGGACCCAUGGAAAAGAAGCCCUUGAGGAAUUCCACCAUGAUUUCAACAAUUUCCAUCCCACCAUCAACCUCAGCCUGGUCCAGUCCACACAAGAGAUCCACUUCCUGGACACUA